GAUGAAGAACGUAGCGAAAUGCGAUAAGUAAUGUGAAUUGCAGAAUUCAGUGAAUCAUCGAAUCUUUGAACGCACAUUGCGCCCGUCAGUAUUCUGGCGGGCAUGCCUGUUCGAGCGUCAUUACGCCCCUCAAGUCCCCUGUGGACUUGGUGUUGGGGAUCGGCGAGGCUGGUUUUCCAGCACAGCCGUCCCUUAAAUUAAUUGGCGGUCUCGCCGUGGCCCUCCUCUGCGCAGUAGUAAAACACUCGCAACAGGAGCCCGGCGCGGUCCACUGCCGUAAAACCCCCCAACUUUUUAUAGUUGACCUCGAAUCAGGUAGGACUACCCGCUGAACUUAAGCAUAUCAACAAGCGGAGGA
rnacentral:misc_RNA from 1 species